GACAGAGGGUGCAAACGUUGUUCGGAAUUACUGGGCGUAAAGCGUGUGUAGGCGGUCCGCUAAGCCGGGUGUGAAAGCCCUGGGCUCAACCCAGGAAGUGCACUCGAAACUGGCGGGCUAGAGUAUCGGAGAGGUUGGUGGAAUUCUCGGUGUAGAGGUGAAAUUCGUAGAUAUCGAGAGGAACACCGGUGGCGAAGGCGGCCAACUGGACGAAUACUGACGCUGAGACACGAAAGCGUGGGGAGCAAACAGG
rnacentral:rRNA from 1 species